rnacentral:rRNA from 1 species
AGAGUUUGAUUCAUGCUCAGAUUGAACGCUGGCGGCAGGCCUAACACAUGCAAGUCGAGCGGUAGCACAGAGAGCUUGCUCUCGGGUGACGAGCGGCGGACGGGUGAGUAAUGUCUGGGAAACUGCCUGAUGGAGGGGGAUAACUACUGGAAACGGUAGCUAAUACCGCAUAACGUCGCAAGACCAAAGUGGGGGACCUUCGGGCCUCAUGCCAUCAGAUGUGCCCAGAUGGGAUUAGCUAGUAGGUGGGGUAACGGCUCACCUAGGCGACGAUCCCUAGCUGGUCUGAGAGGAUGACCAGCCACACUGGAACUGAGACACGGUCCAGACUCCUACGGGAGGCAGCAGUGGGGAAUAUUGCACAAUGGGCGCAAGCCUGAUGCAGCCAUGCCGCGUGUGUGAAGAAGGCCUUCGGGUUGUAAAGCACUUUCAGCGGGGAGGAAGGCGGUAAGGUUAAUAACCUCGGCGAUUGACGUUACCCGCAGAAGAAGCACCGGCUAAUGCCUA